rnacentral:rRNA from 1 species
UUCCGGUUGAYYCUWCGGAGGCCAUUGCUAUCGGAGUCCGAUUUAGCCAUGCUAGUCGCGAGUUCACACUCGCGGCAAUAGCUCAGUAACACGUGGCCAAACUACCCUACAGAGACGCACAACCUCGGGAAACUGAGGCUAAUUCGUCAUACCCCUCUCACGCUGGAAUGCCGAGAGGCACAAACGCUCCCGCGCUGUAGGAUGUGGCUGCGGCCGAUUAGGUAGACGGUGGGGUAACGGCCCACCGUGCCCAUAAUCGGUACGGGUUGUGAGAGCAAGAGCCCGGAGACGGAAUCUGAGACAAGAUUCCGGGCCCUACGGGGCAGCAGGCGCGAAACCUUUACACUGCACGCACGUCGAAUAAGGGGACUCCGAGUGCGAGGGCAUAUCGUCCUCGCUUUUGUGUACCGUAGGCGGCACACGAACAAGAGCUGGGCAAGACCGGUGCCAGCCGCCGCGGUAAUACCGGCAGCUCAAGUGAUGGCCAAUCUUAUUGGGCCUAAAGCGUCCGUAGCUGGCCUCGAAAGUCCGUCGGGAAAUCCACACGCCCAACGUGUGGGCGUCCGGCGGAAACUUCGAGGCUUGGGACCGGAAGGCUCGAGAGGUACGUCCGGGGUAGGAGUGAAAUCCUGUAAUCCCGGACGGACCACCGAUGGCGAAAGCAUCUCGAGAAGACGGAUCCGACAGUGAGGGACGAAAGCUAGGGUCUCGAACCGGAUUAGAUACCCGGGUAGUCCUAGCCGUAAACGAUGUUCGCUAGGUGKUVGMCRWUGACGCGCCUGUGCUGUGCCGUAGGGAAGCCGAGAAWGAACCGCCUGGGAAGUACGUCUGCAAGGAUGAAACUUAAAGAAUUGGCGGGGAGCACUACAACCGAGAGCKCGHUUGGVCU